CACGUAGGAGGCGAGCGUUGUCCGGAAUCAUUGGGCGUAAAGAGCGCGCAGGCGGCUUGGCAAGUCGGGUGUGAAAUCCCGGGGCUCAACCCCGGGACUGCAUUCGAUACUGUCAGGCUAGAGGUAGGUAGGGGAGAUCGGAAUUCCAGGUGUAGCGGUGAAAUGCGCAGAUAUCAGGAGGAACACCGGUGGCGAAGGCGGAUCUCUGGGCCUUACCUGACGCUCAGGCGCGAAAGCUAGGGGAGCGAACAGG
rnacentral:rRNA from 1 species